UGUUCUAUGGCCGAACUGGUGAAGGCAUCGCCGAUUACAGGCGAAAAUACGGGUUCGACUCCCGCUGGAACGG
rfam:Operophtera brumata OBRT01_Sc12460, whole genome shotgun sequence.